AUCGAACGCUGGCGGCAGGCCUAACACAUGCAAGUAGAACGAGUGGCGGACGGGUGAGUAAUGUCUGGGAAACGGCUUGAUGGAGGGGGAUAACUACUGGAAACGGUAGCUAAUACCGCAUACCAUCGGAUGUGCCCAGAUGGGAUUAGCUAGUAGGUGGGGUAAAGGCUCACCUAGGCGACGAUCCCUAGCUGGUCUGAGAGGAUGACCACCCACACUGGACCGGAAGCGCGGUCCGGACUCCUACGGGAGGCAGCAUGGUGAAGUAUUGCACAGUGGCCGCAAGCCUGCUGCGGCCCUGACACUUGUAUGCAGAAUGCCGUCGGGUUGAAAACUACUUUCAGCGAGGAGCCGUUACCCGCACAGGAAGCUCCGGCUAACUCCGUGCCAGCAGCCGCGGUAAUUC
rnacentral:rRNA from 1 species